rnacentral:lncRNA from 1 species
UUCUUUUGCUGUUUCAGAAAAAUAAAGGGAAGAGUUCUUCCCUUCUCUCUGGGAAAACCCCAGAUUCCGGCCAGGAGGGCCACCACGCACUCCCGUCGUCACCGAUCCGCCACCACGCGGUGGCCGGAAUUCCCAGAAGGUAUAUUUUUUUCUUCUUUUUUUUUCUAUUAUUAUUUUUGUUUACAAUAUAUGUAUAUAUGUGAAUAAAAGGGCGUGGAAAAUAGAAAAGAAAGAAAAAUGAAACAAAUCGAAAGAAAAUGAAAUCACCUUUUGUUCCCCUGAUUUUUGAUUCUAUGUUUUCGUUUCUUCUUUUAAUGUUUUUCUCUUGAUUGGAUAUUUUGUGCCUUUGAGUUACUGAUUUUGUGUUUUAAAAUCAAGUGCUUCUUUUUAUUUCUCACCAAAAAAACCGAAUGCUUUUUACAAUUUCAUUUUGGUUUAUAUAUUUGUGCACACUGCUCCUUUUUGCUUUCUGUCUUCUCUCGUUUAAUGCUUGCAGGUGAAUGGCGGUGGACUUGACCUGUCGGUGGGAGCAGAGGCGGUGGUGGAUGGGACAGGGAGCAAGUGGCUGAAGCAGCUUAGGGUUUUCUUAGCUUUUUUCUUUUGUUUUGUGUUUGGGUUGGGCUAGGGUUUUGAUUUGUUUGGGCUAAGGAUUGUGGUUUAAGCUGAGUAUUGGGUUUAGGGUUAUUUUAAUUUUGGGGCCAAAAUUGGGCUAUACAAAUCCAACAUGUUUUUCUCAUGCAAAAUGAAUGAUUAGGCUCGCACAGAAAAUAAAUUACAAACUAAAGAAGGAUUGUAACAGUCGCAUACACGUAGAUAGGCAAUAAAACAAUACCUAAAUUCGAGUCAUUUUUAAAUGAAAAACUGUUAUCUAGUAUAACCCAUGAGUCUUUUUUUUCUUCUAACUUGUUGAUAAUUUUAACCAC